rnacentral:rRNA from 1 species
UGCAGUCGAGCGGACAGAUGGGAGCUUGCUCCCUGAUGUUAGCGGCGGACGGGUGAGUAACACGUGGGUAACCUGCCUGUAAGACUGGGAUAACUCCGGGAAACCGGGGCUAAUACCGGAUGCUUGUUUGAACCGCAUGGUUCAAACAUAAAAGGUGGCUUCGGCUACCACUUACAGAUGGACCCGCGGCGCAUUAGCUAGUUGGUGAGGUAACGGCUCACCAAGGCAACGAUGCGUAGCCGACCUGAGAGGGUGAUCGGCCACACUGGGACUGAGACACGGCCCAGACUCCUACGGGAGGCAGCAGUAGGGAAUCUUCCGCAAUGGACGAAAGUCUGACGGAGCAACGCCGCGUGAGUGAUGAAGGUUUUCGGAUCGUAAAGCUCUGUUGUUAGGGAAGAACAAGUACCGUUCGAAUAGGGCGGUACCUUGACGGUACCUAACCAGAAAGCCACGGCUAACUACGUGCCAGCAGCCGCGGUAAUACGUAGGUGGCAAGCGUUGUCCGGAAUUAUUGGGCGUAAAGGGCUCGCAGGCGGUUUCUUAAGUCUGAUGUGAAAGCCCCCGGCUCAACCGGGGAGGGUCAUUGGAAACUGGGGAACUUGAGUGC